GAUGAACGCUGGCGGCGUGCCUAAUACAUGCAAGUCGAACGGUCGACUUCGGUCGAUAGUGGCGAACGGGUGAGUAACGCGUUGGUGACCUGCCCCGAAGAGAGGGAUAACAGUCCGAAAGGGCUGCUAAUACCGCAUGAGCUAGCCAUGGAUUAGGAAGUGGUUAGGAAAAGGAGCAAUCCGCUUUGGGAGGGGCCUGCGUCCCAUCAGCUAGUUGGUAAGGUAAAGGCUUACCAAGGCGAUGACGGGUAGGGGGCCUGAGAGGGUGAACCCCCACAAUGGAACUGAAACACGGUCCAUACACCUACGGGUGGCAGCAGUAGGGAAUAUUGGUAAAUGGGCGAAAGCCUGAACCAGCAACGCCGCGUGUGCGAUGAAGGCCUUCGGGUUGUAAAGCACUUUUGCGUGGGAAGAGGAAGGACGGUACCACGCGAAUAAGCCUCGGCUAACUACGUGCCAGCAGUCGCCGUAAGAC
rnacentral:rRNA from 1 species